rnacentral:rRNA from 1 species
GAUGAAGAACGCAGCGAAAUGCGAUACUUGGUGUGAAUUGCAGAAUCCCGUGAACCAUCGAGUCUUUGAACGCAAGUUGCGCCCGAAGCCUUCUGGCUGAGGGCACGCCUGCCUGGGCGUCAC